rnacentral:tRNA from 1 species
GUUCUUUUAGUCUAAUGGCCAGGAUAUUGUCGUUUUUUGACAAAGGUGCGGGUUCAAGGCCCGUAGAGGAC